AACUUUGGACAAUGGGUGAAAGCCUGUUCUAGCAAUGCCGCGUGCAGGCUGAAGGCCUUCGGGUUGUAAACUGCUUUUGUACGGAACGAAAACCCUUGGGUUAAUACCCCGGAGUCAUGACGGUACCGUAAGAAUAAGCACAGGCUCACUACUUGCCAGCAGCCGCGGUAAUACGUAGGGUGCAAGCGUUAAUCGGAAUUACUGGGCGUAAAGCGUGCGCAGGCGGUUUUGUAAGACAGAGGUGAAAUCCCGGGGCUCAACCUGGGAACUGCCUUUGUGACUGCAAGGCUAGAGUAUGUCAGAGGGGGGUGGAAUUCCGCGUGUAGCAGUGAAAUGCGUAGAUAUGCGGAGGAACACCGAUGGCGAAGGCAACCCCCUGGGCCUGUACUGACGCUCAUGCACGAAAGCGUGGGGAGCAAACA
rnacentral:rRNA from 1 species